AACAAUCGUGAUGAGUUCACAUAGGACGCAAUGAUCCCAGCCAACAUAUGUAGACUCAAAUGUUAUAUACAAGACUUGGUCAUUAAGGACACAAUUCCUUAAGAGACAACUCAACUAUGUACAUACGUCUACAAAGCCUCUAAGAAGAUAGAAUACCCAGAGUAGGUCCGGACAGACCUCGCCUUACCCUUAACUACGAUACAAUAUCAAAAACGAAUUUACAAAGGAAUCAGUAAAGCUCCGAAUCAACCUGGAGCUCACCAAAGGUUGCUUACUGUUGUGUGCUCCAACAAAGGAGGUCUACUAGGUGGAGUACUUGUGCCUGCAGCAUGAAAUUCACCGUGACGGACGUCAGUAAAAAAAUGUACUGAAUAUGUAAGGCAAAAACAUAUGUAAUACAAGGGCUCAACUGAAAUCAACUACCAACAUAUGAGUGCAUAGAUCAGGACAGAAGACCACCUUUAUUUACUCUUGUGAGAUCAUGUAAAUUACGCUCUUUCCUUUAUUUUUCUAUAUGUUAUAAUAUUUGUAGGGCAUGUGAUACAAGUGGCUAGCUGAUCAGUGGUAGAAGAGGAUGACCCAUUCUAGGCAUAUUAACCCUUGGGAUGCGGUCCUCAAAUUACACAAUUUCGGAUCGGCCCAUGCUAUGCUUUUGCCCCUGAGCUGCCACCCUUCUAUACCAAUAGGGAUCGACCCAUGCUAGGUUUUUGCUCCUGGUCUGCCACCCGUAAUAAUACAAAUUUCUUCACUUAGAUUCUUUAAUCUUUGAUAUUGUUUUUAUUAAUUCAAAACUCUUCUGGGAUUGGUCUUUGGAUACUCAUAACACUUUUGAGAUGUUGUUUUGGUGGUCAUAAUCAUAUUGGAGAUAUGGAAAUACGGACCAGUAGUAGAAGACAUGAAAAAUAAUACUUUGAAGCAGUAACAAUGACAUAAGGAGUUAUGUAACAUCAACACAUUACGUUAAGAGAUUAAUGACACAAUUUUGAAUUGUCUAGGAGAGGGAUUCACCAAACAUUCUUUUGCAAAUACCAUUUCUAUAAAAGCACAAGGGGGGACAAUUACACAAGAAUAGAGUAGUAAACAUAUAAUGAAGUAUUUCUAUAUAAUUCGGAUGGGGGGAUGGAUAUACUAGCUAUUUGGAGUCAGUACACUGCUAUUGUUUCUUUUACUAGGAAUAAAACUUAGGAGAUUCACUUCAUUGAUUUUAAAUACAGGUGUCAGAUUUCAUGCCAAGGAAUAUGGUAUUGAAUAACCUUACAUACUAUAUUUUCUGACCAAUACCACUAUCACGAUUCAGCCUUCCUUUUUGGGUGCUAAUCUACAACAUAAGUCAUGAUAGCAGCUAAUCACAUUAAGGUCCUCAAAAAUAGUUUCUAAAAUAUUUGACGGAAAGCAAGCCCAUACAACCCUUACACAACUGGUGAACCACCACAUUCCUCUACACAUUAAUACAACUUCAUACAUCCUCUCCCAAGAUACCUAAGCUGCCCUCAACAACAAUAUUAUAAGGCAACCAUUAUCAAUCUCAAAUCUUUCAACAUAACAGGGGAAUAUUGACUCAAGGAUUUAUCACAAUCCAUAACUUCUUGAUAAAUGGAUACAAAAUUCUCCACUCCAAACAUGUAUUAAAAGAGAGGAAAACAAAUGGGUUAUAGUCUUACCUUAAUUCUGGAAAUUUGUACUUUUAACUUGUACUUCAAGAAUUCAGACUCUCCUUCAAACUUUUACUUGAAAAUGAGACAAUACUCAAGAACCCUAAGGUGUG
rnacentral:lncRNA from 1 species